UUCUCCUUGUGCGCAUACUUUACUCUCUGUUUUUGAAGAUCUAUUAAUCCAGUUGAAGGCAGAUUAGAGUUCAUUUUGUUCCAGUUGAAGGCCGAUUAGAGUUCAUCUUCUUACAGUUGGUGUUGUUCAGUCUGCUGAUGUAGUAUCGAAGAUCUGUUGAAGAUUAAGUUAUUCAUUCGUCUCGUUCUGUAUUACAGAUACUGCGAAUCAUCAUGUUUUCAGGUUGUAUUGUUUUAUUCUUGCUGUAUUGUUUCAAAUAAUCAACUGAUCGUUAUCAGUUGAUUAUGUACAUUUGGUUGAUUAAUCUCUGAUCUUACUGUUUAGUAAGAUCUUGGGUUAUUUGGGUGUUUUUCGGUUUGGGUAAAGAUAAUAAAAUUUUACAUCACAGUUUUUGUCGCUUCUCUUGUGUUGAUAUUUGUUGUUUGGUCCAAGCUUUCAUACCAUUUGACAAUUUGGCACAAGUUCAUUUCACUCAACGCAAUUUUCAUUGGCCAUAAACGGCACAGAACUGCGUAACUUUAAUAAAUUAUUAUUUGUUGCGAUAGAUUUAAUAGUGCUUUGUUAGAUCGGAUUUUGAUCUCCGAUGUCGAUGUGGAUGACUUAGGUUAUGAGAUUAGGGCAAAGUGGAUAUAAGAUUUUCCUGAUGCUACCUUCAAAGUGGAUACAAAGAUUGAUGGAUCUCAUGCAACACAAGUGGAGAAAGAGAGCUUGGUGGAGAGAACCUACUUAAAGGGAUCACUGCUAAUAAGAACAUUGUUGCUCAUGUAAGAAUAUAUAUCAUGUGUGUCAUGUAGUUUUGUUUCUUUGCAGCUAGCAUCACCACUUAUUUAAUAUGUUUGAUUUUAAACAUUCGGGUUCAAGGAAAAACAAUAUAGUAGUGGUACGGCUACCUCCGGACCGGACUGACUACAAGUUUGGCUUUCACAUAUGUGCAUGUUUGUUAUUUUCUUUUGAUUUGAGUUUUCUAAAGUUAUCAUUUUCAGUUGAAAUAUAUAACUUGAUGUUUAUUUGUGCAGGGGAUUGAUCUGAUAGAUCCAUAUGCAAAUGCUAAUAGAUUUGAUAUACAUUUUAUUUCUGUUGGUUGGGACAUGAAUGUAUCUCAAUUUACUAAUUUUCUUGGUUUAUGUUAUUGUAAGCAUGAUCCUGAGAUUUGUUUUUAUAUUUUUUUUUGUUUUAGUCGUGUGAUAGAUUCAGUUUCUUGCUGCUUCGGUUGCUCCAUUGAUGUCGCUCACCAGAAGUCCUGUGAAAUGUAGUUAGAUAGAUCAUACCUACCCCGAUGGAUACAAGUACUACUACAAUAGCAUAUGCACAACUGGUGAAACCAAACGGGAGAAACCAGAAGAAUUGGCGUUGUUUGAACUACAGCAAAAGCCUCAAGAACAAGCACAACAAAAGCAGCAAGUUGCUUCAAGAACAUUUAAAGUCUGUCAAAUUAGCAAACUCAGAUUGCCAACUCCAGCCUCAAAGUCACUUUCAAACCAAAAUGCAAGCAUAUGGGCGGCUCCCUCAUUAGUUGCAACAUGACACUCGGUCUUCGUUAUUACACGGGCACUUAAACUAUUAAAUAAUAUAAUUUACUUUGAGUAAUCCGUGUAAUACACGGGUACUUAAACUAUUUUAAGUUAUAUAUUUGUGUGUUAGUCCACCCGCGAAAUUCGCGGGGUCUUAAACUAGUAUACAAAUAGACAAGUUAGGAUUAUUGUAUGAGAGUCAUUGUAUUCUGUUUUUUAGUUAUUUUUCUAAGUAUAAUAUACGUGAGAAUUAUUCACAA